GACGCCGUAGCUAAGUGGUUAUAGCGUGCGAUUGCAAUUGGUGCUUCGAGUAGUUAUCGCAAGGUCCCGGGUUCAACUCUCGGCGGUGUCU